AUGCACGAAGGGCACUCGGGGGGAGGCGGUGGGGGGCUACGGAACCCCUGCCUGACGAUGCACCAGCCGUGGGCGUCGCUGCUAGUGCACGGCACCAAGCGCGUGGAGGGCCGCUCCUGGCCGUCGCCGGUCAUCGGCCGCCUCUGGAUCCACGCCGCCUCCAAGGUGCCCGACCCCAACACCGUCGCCGCCAUGGAGGACUUCUACCGUGAGAUCUACGCCAUCAACGGGGUCCACCACAUCGACUUCCCCCAGAACUACCCCGUCUCCUGCCUCCUCGGUCCAUAUCCAUCGUCUUCCUUGCUAGUUACCGCUGCCGCCAUUGUUUCUCCCAGCUUGCUUACGCCAUUGCCGAUUAUUGCUCAGGAUGCGUCGAGGUGGUCGGCUGCGUCAGCAACUGGCUUACCAGUACGCCGCAAAGGGGGCAUGCCUUGCCCUGGUAGCAAGGAGGGAGUGGAGCCUGUGGCAGGUCGCCGACCGCGCCUUCGAGCUCGGCAUGCCAAAUGUGAUCAUUCUCCCCGGGGAUGUCACAGACCCCAAUGA
rnacentral:rRNA from 1 species